AAAGUUGAAAGAACUCUGAAGAGAGAGUUCAAUAGUACGUGAAACCAUAAUGAGUAAAACGGAUAACUGUACUAUUGUAGUGUUUUGCUUUUCAACAGUUUAUAGCGAUAUCCGACAGUGCGAGAAUUAAUUGUUUUUUCAACGAAAUUCACGUAGGUAGAAUGCCGCCAUAAGCUGUGAUUUAGUGCAAUUUCUAUCAUUAAAAAGCUUUAUGAUCCUGGCAGAGGUAUGUUGCAGUUUGCACUAUGUGCGAAGUAACAUGCUGUGCUAUGUUGUUGUUGAGUUUGGCUGAGAUUACUUUAGUCCGAUGUGCUUAAAGCUUUUGCUACAUGUGUGUCUUGCAGACUUGUUUAUUCUGGUUUGUGGUGAUCAUGUGGUACUUGGUUGCGCCUCAUGUUUAAUGAUCAAGUACUAGUUAUUCGACCCGUCUUGAAACACGGACCAAGGAGUUCAAAUGGCACGCGAGUCAUUGGGUGUAAACAUCCAAAGGCGAAGUGAAAUGCGAGCGUUUUGUUAUUUGUGGUAUCCACAAAAAAAUGAUAAGCUACUGAUGCUAUCAGGCAUUUGUAGACUACAAGCGUGUCGUUUGAGACCCGAAAGAUGGUGAUCUAUGCCUAGUCAAGAUGAAGCCAGAGGAAACUCUGGUGGAUGUCUGAAGUUUUUCUGACU
rnacentral:rRNA from 1 species